UUUGUCCACCAGGCUGGAGUGCAGUGGUGCGAUCAUGACUCUCUUCAUCUUUGGCAGCAACCUACCACAUAGGGGAUUAUAGAAGAGGAGACUUGUAACUUCUAUGUGGUCACUUCAGACCUGCAGAGCAGGCAGGUGAGGUGAAAGAGGCUGUUUGAGAGUCCGAGCCUGUUGUAGAGAGAUCAGUCCAGUGGUCCAGGUUCAGUGAGGAAAUGAUCUGGUAGUAGUUCUUCUGGAAGCAUUCUUCUUUGGAAAUUCUACAGGAAUAAGAAACCUGCAUUGGCUGUGCUUCGUCACUGAUUCAGGAGCAGCCUGUGGAAAGCGUGGCCUCAGCAUCAAUGUGGUGGUGAACCCAGAGGAGUGGAAACAAGGCCAACUAUUAUGCUCCCUGCAGCAGGAGACCUGAGUGGUGCAUUGUCCUGGCCAUCACAAUGGCUUGAUCAGUUCCGAAUGACUUCUGGAGAAUAGUAAAUGUGUCCCUAAACAUAGGAUAUAAUUUUACCUAAAAAUUUCAUAUACAUGUUGUGAGAUAAAUUGUGUUCCCCCAAAAAAGAUAUGUUCAACUCCUAAGCUAGUACCUAUGAAUGUGAUCUUAUUGGGAAAUAGGGUCAUUACAGAUGUAAGCAAGUUAAGAUGCUCAGUAUGGUGGACCCUAAACCCAAUAUGACUGGUGAGCUGAUAAGCAAAGGAGACAUAGAUAGGCACUCAGAGAGAAUACCAUAUGACAACAGAAGCAGAGAUUGGAGUGACACGGAUACAAGUCAUGGAACACCAAGGAUUGCCAGCAAUUCCAGAAACUGAAAGAAGGACAUGGGACAGAUUCUGCCCAAGAGCCGUCACGGAGACAGCAUGGCCCUGCUGACAUUGAUUUUGGACUUCCAGCCUCCAGAGCUGUGACAGAAUAAGGUAAUGUUGUUUAAAGUCACCUGCCUUGUGGUACUUCCGUAUAGCAGCCCUAGAAACUAAUACACACUAUGUUAAGAUUAUUUUGGUGCUACAUUUUAAUGAUUUUUAAAAACUAUGAUUAGGGCCACGCACAGUGGCUCAUGCCUGUAAUCCCAGCACUUGGGAGGCCAAAGCAGGUGGAUCACUUGAUGUCAGGAGUUUGAGGCCUGCCUAGCCAACAUGGUGAAACCUCGUCUCUACUAAAAAUACAAAAAUUAGCUGGAUGUAGUGGCUGCAUACCUAUAGUUCCAGCUCCUUGGGAGGCUGAGGCAGGAGAAUCGCUUGAACCUGGGAGGCAGAGGUUUCAGUGACCCAAGAUCUCACCACUGCACUCCAGCCUGGAUGACAGAGAGAAACUCCGUCUCAAAUUAAUUAAUUAAUUAAUUAAUAAAAUAAAAUAAAAACUAUGAUUAGGAGCUUUCUGUGACUCUCCUUUUCCCACCCCUCCCUACUAUCUGAGAGUUGAUGACAUUUUCUGUUUUAUUUCUUCCGUGUUUAAUUGUAUAGUCUCUGAGAACUAGAUUUGAUCUCAAGGACAGGAAAAUGAAAAGGAACUCAUCAUGACUUCUGGGAUGGUUAAUAUUAAGUGUCAACUUGAUUGGAUUGAAGGAUGAAAAGUGUUGUUUGUGGGUGUAUCUGGGUGUUGCCAGAAGAGAUUAACUUUUGAGUUGGUGGGCUAGGAGAAGACCCACCCUCAGGAAGACCCACCCACAGUGUGGGCGGGCAUCAUCCAAUCGGCCCCAGCUUGGCUGGAAAAAGCUGGCAGAAGAAAGUGGAAGGAGCUGACUGGCUGAGUCUUCCAGCUUUCAUCCUUCUCCUAUGCUGGAUGCUUCCUGCCCUGGAACAUCAGACUCCAAGUUCUUCGGCUUUUGGACUCUUGGACUUACACCAGUGGACUUACACCACUGAAGGCCCGAGAGCCCCUGUCAACUUCCCCUGUCAACUUUGAGGGUUGGGGACUCAGACUGAACCACUACUGGCUUCCUUGCUCCUCAGCUUGCAGACGGCCUGCCGUGGGACUUCACCUGGUGACUGUGUGAGUCAGUUCUCCUUAAUAAACUCCCUUUCCUAUAUACAUCUAUCCUAUUAGUUCUUUCCCUCUAGAGAACCCUUACUAAUACAACAUCCAACUUCAAAUUGCUUUUUUUCAACCAUAAACCUUGACUGGAGGUCAACCAAGUAUUGGGUACUGUUCCAGGCACUUUAAUUAAAAAGAUAAAGUAAGGCACAGUUCUUGUCCUGAAAAAUAUCUGAUUCUUAGGCUGAAAACAGACACACAGUCCCAAAACACUGUGAUGAAUGCUUUAAAGGGGUUUUUAGACUUCAGGUACACCAG
rnacentral:lncRNA from 1 species